GCGGGAGUGUCAGAGUGGUCAAAUGAGACGGACUUAAGAUCCGUUGGCUUAGUGCCUUCGAAGGUUCGAACCCUUCCUUCCGCA
rnacentral:tRNA from 1 species